UACAGAGGGUGCAAGCGUUGUUCGGAAUCACUGGGCGUAAAGGGUGCGUAGGCGGGUCUUUUAAGUCAGGGGUGAAAUCCUGGAGCUCAACUCCAGAACUGCCUUUGAUACUGAAGAUCUUGAGUUCGGGAGAGGUGAGUGGAACUGCGAGUGUAGAGGUGAAAUUCGUAGAUAUUCGCAAGAACACCAGUGGCGAAGGCGGCUCACUGGCCCGAUACUGACGCUGAGGCACGAAAGCGUGGGGAGCAAACAGG
rnacentral:rRNA from 1 species